rnacentral:rRNA from 1 species
CCUACGGGAGGCUGCAGUGGGGAAUAUUGCACAAUGGUGGAAACCCUGAUGCAGCGACGCCGCGUGAGUGAAGAAGUAUUUCGGUAUGUUAAGCUCUAUCAGCAGGGAAGAAAAUGACGGUACCUGUUUCAGAAGCCCUGUCUAACUACGUGCCAGCUGCCGCGGUAAUACGGAGGGAGCAAGCGUUAUCCGGAUUUACUGGGUGUAAAGGGGGCGUAGUCGGCAGAACAAGUCAGGAGUGAAAUGCCGGGGCUUAACCCCGGAACUGCUUUGGAAACUGUGCGGCUAGAGUGCAGGAGAGGUAAGGGGAAUUCGUGGUGUAGCGGUGAAAUGCGUAGAUAUUGGGAAGAAC